rnacentral:rRNA from 1 species
AACGAACGCUGGCGGCAUGCCUAACACAUGCAAGUCGAACGAGAUCUUCGGGUCUAGUGGCGCACGGGUGCGUAACGCGUGGGAAUCUGCCCUUUGGUUCGGAAUAACAGUUGGAAACGACUGCUAAUACCGGAUGAUGACGAAAGUCCAAAGAUUUAUCGCCAGAGGAUGAGCCCGCGUAGGAUUAGCUAGUUGGUGUGGUAAGGCGCACCAAGGCGACGAUCCUUAGCUGGUCUGCGAGGAUGAUCAGCCACACUGGGACUGAGACACGGCCCAGACUCCUACGGGAGGCAGCAGUGGGGAAUAUUGGACAAUGGGCGAAAGCUUGAUCCAGCAAUGCCGCGUGAGUGAUGAAGGCCUUAGGGUUGUAAAGCUCUUUUACCCGGGAUGAUAAUGACAGUACCGGGAGAAUAAGCCCCGGCUAACUCCGUGCCAGCCGCCGCGGUAA